GCGACGAAUAAAGAUUUUCAUCGGUCAGGGAUGGGGAUGCGUCUGAUUAGAUUGUUGGCGGGGUAACGGCCCGCCAAGGCUGCGAUCAGUAGGGGUUCUGAGAGGAAGGUCCCCCACAUUGGAACUGAGACACGGUCCAAUCUCCUACGGGAGGCAGCAGUGAGGAAUAUUGGUCAAUGGGCGAGAGCCUGAACCAGCCAAGUAGCGUGCAAGAAGACGGCCCUAUGGGUUGUAAACUGCUUUUAUGCGGGGAUAAAGUGAGGGACGUGUCCCUCAUUGCAGGUACCGCAUGAAUAAGGACCGGCUAAUUCCGUGCCAGCAGCCGCGGUAAUACGGAAGGUCCUGGCGUUAUCCGGAUUUAUUGGGUUUAAAGGGAGCGUAGGCCGUGGAUUAAGCGUGUUGUGAAAUGCAGGUGCUCAACGUAUGCACUGCAGCGCGAACUGGUCCACUUGAGUGUGCGCAACGCAGGCGGAAUUCGUCGUGUAGCGGUGAAAUGCUUAGAUAUGAAGAAGAACUCCGAUUGCGAAGACAGCCUGCGGGAGCACAACUGACGCUAAAGCUCGAAAGUGCGGGUAUCGAACAGG
rnacentral:rRNA from 1 species